GGUCCCAUCGUCCAGGGGCCUAGGACGUCGGGUUCUCAGCCCGAAAACAGGGGUUCGAAUCCCCUUGGGACUG
rnacentral:tRNA from 1 species